rnacentral:piRNA from 1 species
UGUCACUAAUAUUUCGGAUUC